rnacentral:lncRNA from 1 species
UUUCAUUGGCACUCCAGUUGGGGAGGUUCUCUGGUUUGACGUCUCUAAACUUCCUGUGCCAGACGAGUGGGGGCGCAGACGCGAGCUUGGACCAGAAGCUUGAGCAGGGGCUACAUGUAUGGCGCCCCCUCUUCACACUCCGCCCAGACACGCUUGAAAGUCUGGCAUGCACUAGCAGCAGCCUGCAGAAGCUAUGGGUAGCUUUCAAUGAUGACGUCGAG